rnacentral:rRNA from 1 species
UGAGUAACACGUAUGCAACCCGCCUGCCACAGCCGGAUAAUCGGGAGAAAUUCCGUCUAAUACGGCAUAAUGCAUCGACGGGACAUCCUGUUGGUGCCAAAGGUUAAUUCCGGUGGCGGAUGGGCAUGCGUCGCAUUAGUUAGUUGGCGGUGUAACGGACCACCAAGACGACGAUGCGUAGGGGUUCUGAGAGGAAGGUCCCCCACACUGGUACUGAGACACGGACCAGACUCCUACGGGAGGCAGCAG